rnacentral:sRNA from 1 species
AUCUAGCCCCGAUUGAAGCGAUAUCCUUUUAUGGCAAUUUCCGUAACUAAUUGUGCCAUAAAAGAUUUAGCGAAAAGCGGGAGUGGAG